UACGUAGGGGACGAGCGUUGUCCGGAAUUACUGGGCGUAAAGGGCGCGCAGGCUGUAGAUCAAGUCAGCUGUGAAAUGUCUGGGCUUAACCCGGGCAUGCGGUUGAAACUGAUGUACUGGAGUGCUGUAGAGGCAAGUGGAAUUCCCAGUGUAGCGGUGAAAUGCGUAGAUAUUGGGAAGAACACCGGUGGCGAAGGCGACUUGCUGGGCAGCAACAGACGCUGAGGCGCGAAAGCCAGGGGAGCAAACGGGAUUAGA
rnacentral:rRNA from 1 species